AGGUGUGUGUAAAACACAAUAAGAAGAACUUGCUAUUCUAAGAAUUUGCUAACUUGCUAUUCUGAGAACUUGCUAUUCUGAUGCCACAGUGACUGGGGGAAUUCUGUAACGGGACCAAGCGCCGACAGGAGAACAUCAAUAUUUUAAGGAAGGCCUAUGAAAAGGUGCUUGUGCUGUUGAAGCCCAGCGUUAUUUCUAACAAUGCAUCUCAAGCAGAAGGCUGCAAACAUUUCUGAGAUAUUUUGACAGUUUUCAAUCAAUAUCAAUAGAAAUCAAAUUAUUUGUGUUCUUGUGUAGAUGAAAGAGGAAAAUAGAGGUGUGCAAACUAUCCUGAAAUAUCUGAGUAGUUACAUCAGCUACUGAGAGAAUGUAAUGUUUGUAAUUCCCGUCUUUUUCUCACAAAAGAGGAUUGCUUUCCCACUCUCGCUACCAAGUCUACUUUUCUAACUAAAAAUCAUUUUUGUAAAGCCCCCAGUCGGCCUCCUCUGAGGAGCAGUAUUCCAAUUAACAUCAGUUUAAUAUUCUAUGCAUGGUUACUAUUUUGUGUGAAUUGCUGUAAAUAGCAAUAAAUAAUAUAGUAGCACUGUGAAGAAGUGCUUUUUAUAGCUGGUAUACUGACGAUUUCCUAUCAGUGACAAGAAUGUAAACACUUCUUUAAGUUUUAAAAUGAUUUGUUUGUAGUAGUUAUGGUGUUAACACAAAAGGAGUGAAAUAUGGAUGUAGAACAUUUAUUAUAGAACAUGAUAGGAGUGUCCUAAAGCCAUAUUUUCACUUAAGACCCAAUGUGUUUAUCUAUCUGAUGAAAGACCAGGAUACCUGUGUUUCUGUAUGUGCUCUUUUAAUGAGUGCUUACCCCAAGAAGUGGAAUUCUGAAUGGACCUGACUUCCAGGUUAAUGGUUUGAGUUCAUUUUAUGCUUCAGAAGUUGUUUAUGGAUAAGUAAAUAAUAGUAAGUUAAUGCAGAUUUGCAGAUAAACUUGAAAGGAUUGACAAUGUAGAUUAUACUGAAGAUCAGUGUCAUAGUAAGCUUUAAUUAUUACAGAUAAUUAAUGUGAUGAACAAAAGCAUUGUCCAUGCUGAGGCAGGGUGGGGAGAAAGAAAUGGUAUGGGUGGGACUUUGUUGUUGUUGUUGUAGUUUUGUUUUAAAUCAGCAUGAACUCUGUGUUUCUCAGGGCUGAGAGUAAAUAUUGAGACCCAAAAUAUGGAAUGUUAUGCUAACGUGUUACCGGAGAUACCUAAUCAAAGAACAGCUAAUUUUUUUUUUUUUAAUACAGCCACUCUUUACAUUAUUCUGUUAAUGGUAAAAAAAAAUAAAAUUACUUAGGGUGCAAUGGAUUUAAAAACAUCUUUAUGAUUCUUUGGCUGUCUUGUAGUCUUUUAAACAACAGGUUUCCUCCAGCUUUCCCAGACCUUAUGCCAGUCGGAUGAACAUGCAGUAGGCAGAGGAUCUGUGCUUUUUCAUAUCAGAGCCUGGUGAUUCUUGAGGAUGUUUUUCUCCACAUGAACAGAUAGUACAUUUGAACUGAGUUCAGUAGUAUUCACUUCUUGCAGAUGCUCUUUUUCACUUGGAUGGAACCACUGUAAAAUGACCCAUAGCAGUCUGACUGCUUUGAGGAGAUAUUCAGGCUGCACACCAAGGGAGGAGCAUUUCAUAUCCUGCCUUACGCAUACUGAAUUUUACAGCAAAAACUUCCCUGGAAACUCUUAAAAGGUCCAGAAAAAUGGCGCUAUUUGGUCACAGGCCAGAUCUUCUGCCAGUAAACACUCUGAGCACUCUCUCUCUUGGGCAAACAGCUCUGAAGGAAAUGCUUUCGAAUGUUCACAAGUGAUGUUGAUUGCCACACGGCGACACCCACGAUUUGCCUCCUUGGGAAAAAAGAGAAGCACUUCACUAUGUGUUGGACACUCUGUUUUUAUCUCUCACAUGUUGGCUGAUAAUUACAGUAAAGUUCUGGAGCUGACCACAGAGUAAAUCUCAGAGAAAAGUUAUCCAAAAGACAGAUGUUGCACGAUGCACAACAGCAAGAUGGAAAGGAGCUUUUUUGUGCCUUUGUAGUCAUUUGUGAUUUGUUUGCCAGAAUCAGUUUUGCUUUAGAAGAUAACAUUUUCACUUUUUUUUCUGCUUGACCAGGAAGGUUCUGUUUAUGAACUGUUUUGUCAUAAUAAUAGCUUUAAUGCCAUCUAUCUGUGAAAGCUCUUGGAAAAAUGGAAGAUGGUGAAGAAAAUAACAGCUCAUUAUCAGAAAUUUGUAGUUCAGGUCUUGGUUUACAUUUGAUAUAUCUGCAGCAGUUUCUAAGAGAAGAUUAGUGUAUUACUGUGAUACAAGACCUUCUUGCCUGAGGGAAGUUUUGUGACUAUAUUCAGUUUGUAAACAUGGCGCUAUAUGGCUGUACUAUUCUAUAUUAGUAAUAUGGAAGUUUAUAUAUCUUUAUAUAUCAGUAACUUCAUAACUUUCACCUGCUCCCCAUUCCCAUUUUUAACAAAAUAGUUGCAUGAGGGAGUAAUUGUCUCAGGAAAGGAUCUACUGUUUGUACUGCUAGGUGACAUGGACAGCAGUAGAAAUCAUGAUUUACUGAGCAAUCACAAACAACAAAAGCAAAAAAUAUAUCCAUGAGCUUCUGGAGUGGUUAGCAGAACUUGAGUAAUGUUAGUAUCCGUGAAUUCUUUCUUUCCUUAUUUAUUUAUUUAUUUAAAUUGCAGAUACUGCCAUUUUAUAAAAUUAUUAUUGUGCUAGUCAGUGAAAUCUUGUCAUUUAUUUCUUAUGCUUACUUUUGUGUUAAUGAGUCAACGUUAUGACACACAUUUGUAUGGAAAUACUGUUUUGAUGGAAGAUAUUCAGAGCAGCUGCAGGAGUACUAAGAAGUUUCAUUUGAAAAUAAUAAGAAAAAUAUUCUGUCCUAUCCAAUCAGACAGGAUAUUAUUUUUAUGCUGACAGAAUAACAGCGUUAAAAAGCUGCCCAAGAGAACAGAGCUGACAAACCUUAGAAAAUUCAUUUAACAUUUGAAAUAUUUCUGAAUUAUUAAUAUUGUCAGUCUGAUGGGACGUAUCUGCCAUCUAGUGGCUAGAUAACUAAACGGGAGCUGUUCACCCAAUCAUUGCCUUCAUUGUAAGCAAGUGCUAUUAAUUAGGGGCAAAAAAAGAGUACUCACUUUGGAGCAGGCCUGCAAAUAUCAUCUAGUUUUGUUUAAAACAAAUACCUGAUAACAAUAUCAGACAGAUAAAUAACUUUAAAUCGUAGUGAAUACAAUUUUUUUAUACACUUGGAAAACAAAAUAAUGACACGACUUGUACACAGAUCAUAAAGUGUUAAUAUGGAGUGUAAUUACUCUUCCUGCUCUCUGAAGUGUGGAGAGGGAAAUCCAGGAAAAUACAGGAAUAAACAUGCUUGAUUUGAGUAGUCCCAAUCAGCAACACACGAUUUCUCACACCUAUUGAGCAGUGAUGAUGAUGAUAUCUUAGCUAGGCUACUGAACACAAUGAAUUGCUAUAACCAUGGAUUUGGGAAGAAAUGGGGGUCUGCAGCUGACUGUCCAAUUAAAACUGCAUGCAGAUAAAACUUCAGCCUUUUGUUCUGCCUUAUAUGUAAAUGAAAUCAAGUUAGACCUCCUUGAAUCUGUACAUGAAUGUAAUUGGUCUGUGGGGAAUCUAUCAAAUUUUUUAUGCUUCUCAUUAUUUUUUCCCUUCACCCUCUCUCCUAUGGCCUUAGUGGCUACUUUUUGAUCUUUGUUCUCAUGCUUUGCUGCUACCUUGUGAUGUAUAGCAGAAACAACAUUCAGUGCCUUUUUUUAAUUUUACUUCUUACUUAACAGAAACUUUCAAGUUCUUCUUUUCCAAUAAGUAAUGCAGAAAUUAAAAUUGUGAUUUAUUUUUUUCAGCACUAGUUAUAAUUGUCCACAAAAAAUAACAUUCAUCAGCCUCAGUGAUACCACUGCUUCUAUAUCGUUCUGGCAAUAUGCAAAUCUUCUCUGGAAUUUUCUGCUUGAGUGAAGGCUAAUCAUCAUGUACACUGAGGGCUCACAUAUGGCCUCAGAAAUGCAGAGUAUCGUCUGAUUUUCUUGUGCAUAACAUCAUGUAGUGAAUGUACCUGGUUCUCAGAAGAGAAGGACUACUACAUUCCCCA